GUGAGUGCCACAACAUUCUAUGUAGUGAUGCUACUCAGGUAUUUCUUCUUCGCAGAUCCUCAUCCCUACAAGGAGUUCACUACAGAUAUACAGAGGCUUCCUCAGUAUUUGAUCUCGCAGUUGGCCUUUUUUGCAGUAAUCUAUUCGCCUUUAAAGUACAAAGUGUACAUGCAAGAGUAUGUCGUGUCUGUGUCGUUAUUCACCACCUCGUUGGUCACG
rnacentral:lncRNA from 1 species